rnacentral:rRNA from 1 species
AUUGAACGCUGGCGGCAUGCCUUACACAUGCGAGUCGAACGGCAGCACGGGCUUCGGCCUGGUGGCGAGUGGCGAACGGGUGAGUAAUACAUCGGAACGUGCCCUGUAGUGGGGGAUAACUAGUCGAAAGAUUAGCUAAUACCGCAUACGACCUGAGAGUGAAAGCGGGGGACCGUAAGGCCUCGCGCUAAAGGACGGGCCGGUGUCUGAUUAGCUAGUUGGUGGGGUAAGAGCCUACCAAGGCGACGAUCAGUAGCUGGUCUGAGAGGACGAUCAGCCACACUGGGACUGAGACACGGCCCAGACUCCUACGGGAGGCAGCAGUGGGGAAUUUUGGACAAUGGGGGCAACCCUGAUCCAGCAAUGCCGCGUGUGUGAGGAAGGCCUUCGGGUUGUAAAGCACUUUUGUCCGGAAAGAAAUGGCUCUGGUUAAUACCUGGGGUCGAUGACGGUACCGGAAGAAUAAGCACCGGCUAACUACGUGCCAGCCGCCGCGGUAAUAC